rnacentral:rRNA from 1 species
AUUGAACGCUGGCGGCAUGCCUUACACAUGCAAGUCGAACGGUAACAGGUCUUCGGAUGCUGACGAGUGGCGAACGGGUGAGUAAUACAUCGGAACGUGCCUAGUAGUGGGGGAUAACUACUCGAAAGAGUGGCUAAUACCGCAUGAGAUCUACGGAUGAAAGCAGGGGAUCGCAAGACCUUGUGCUACUAGAGCGGCCGAUGGCAGAUUAGGUAGUUGGUGGGAUAAAAGCUUACCAAGCCGACGAUCUGUAGCUGGGCUGCGAGGACGAUCAGCCAAACUGGGACUGGGAAACGGCCCAGACUCCUACGGGAGGCAGCAGUGGGGAAUUUUGGACAAUGGGCGCAAGCCUGAUCCAGCAAUGCCGCGUGCAGGAUGAAGGCCUUCGGGUUGUAAACUGCUUUUGUACGGAACGAAAAGCCCCGGGUUAAUACCCUGGGGUCAUGACGGUACCGUAAGAAUAAGCACCGGCUAACUACGUGCCAGCCGCCGCAGUAA